rnacentral:sRNA from 1 species
CUUCCUCCACCUGUUGCGGGCAGAUGAAGUGGAUGUGCGAGUCAAUGCCGCCUGCCGUGACGAUCUUGCCCUCGGCGGCAAUGAUUUCGGUGCCUGGGCCAAUGGGCAGGGUCACGCCCGGCUGGACGUCAGGGUUGCCGGCCUUGCCCACGCCGAAGGUGCGCCCGUUCUUUACCCCGAUGUCCGCCUUGACGAUGCCCCAAUGAUCGAUGAUCAGCGCAUUGGUCAGCACCAGGUCCAUCGCCUCGGCAGCCAGCAUCUGUCCCUGGCCCAUGCCGUCGCGGAUG